GUGUGAUCCUGCAGGUCGGUUAUGAUCGCGGACUACCUUGACACGGUAGAGGCCACUGGUUCAAUCCCAGUAUCGCCCACCA
rnacentral:tRNA from 1 species